CUACAUGCAAGUCGUGGGGCAGCAUGGGGUAGCAAUACUCUGAUGGCGACCGGCAAACGGGUGCGGAACACGUACGCAACCUUCCCAAAACUGGUGAAUAGCCCUCCGAAAGGAGGAUUAAUACACCGUAACAUAACGAAGUGGCAUCACUUUGUUAUUAUAGCUCCGGCGGUUUUGGAUGGGCGUGCGCCUGAUUAGGUAGUUGGCGGGGUAACGGCCCACCAAGCCUACGAUCAGUAACUGGUGUGAGAGCACGACCAGUCACACGGGCACUGAGACACGGGCCCGACUCCUACGGGAGGCAGCAGUAAGGAAUAUUGGUCAAUGGACGCAAGUCUGAACCAGCCAUGCCGCGUGAAGGAUGAAGGUCCUCUGGAUUGUAAACUUCUUUUAUCUGGCACGAAAAAAGGGCUUUCUAGCUCACUUGACGGUACCAGAGGAAUAAGCACCGGCUAACUCCGUGCCAGCAGCCGCGGUAAUACGGAGGGUGCGAGCGUUAUCCGGAUUUACUGGGUUUAAAGGGUGCGUAGGUGGGCAGGUAAGUCAGUGGUGAAGUCUUCGAGCUUAACUCGGAAACUGCCAUUGAUACUAUCUGUCUUGAAUGCCCUGGAGGUAAGCGGAAUAUGUCAUGUAGCGGUGAAAUGCUUAGAUAUGACAUAGAACACCAAUUGCGAAGGCAGCUUACUACGGGGUGAUAGACACUGAGGCACGAAAGCGUGGGGAUCAAACAGGAUUAGAUUCCCUGGUAGUCCACGCCCUAACGAUGGAUACUCGACAUACGCGAUACACUGUGUGUGUCUGAGCGAAAGCAUUAAGUAUCCCACCUGGAAGUACGACGCAGGUGAACUCAAGAUUGACGGGGUCCGCACAAGCGGUGGAGCAUGUGUUUAAUUCGAUGAUACGCGAGAACCUA
rnacentral:rRNA from 1 species